ensembl:lncRNA
GCAUCCUGACACCCUGCUACUCUAGAUACUAAAGGCCUUGUUUCUGAGACGUAGUAGGCUUGUCGCUGGCAAACUAAUUCCCAGGUCAGAAUCGUGUCUUCCUUACUCUGCUUCACCUGGCACCCCUGCCCUUUCCUGUCCUCAGGCUGCAGAUGGAGCAGGCUCAACAAGGAGCAGGUAGGGAAUGGCAUGGACCCUGGGGACUCUGAAGCAGGCUGCAGCCCUACACUGGCUUAGGGUGCUUCAGCCCGCCAGAUCUGUGCAGCCUUCCAGGACACUGUCCAGAAGGCCUCUGGGAGCACCCCUGGCCUUAUCUGGCAAGGCCCGUCUGGAGGGCUGGCCUCUGGGAAACUACUGGGUACCAGGAGUUGCUGGAACAAAGGUGAGCUCUAGAUGAAGCCACACGGACCCUGCUUCAAAUAUGGAAGUGCUCUCCCAGGGAAGACAGAGGGUCCCCGUGACCUGACCAGGAUGAAAGACGGACUUCUCCAUCGGAAAAGCGAAGUAUUCAGCAGAAGCUAGAGCCUGGGGUGUAGCUCCCCGGGUGACCCUGGCCCUCACGAAGGGGACACUUGUGUGUCGUCAGGCUCUUGUCUUCACAGGUGCACAGCACCCCGGUGAUUUCAGGAAAAGUGUUGCCAGUGCUGUCCAUGUCCUGCAGUCCCUGCCCGCCGGGCAGUUACUCCAGGAGACUCGGGUUUCCGCUCAGGACCUCCCACUUCCCUCUCUCCGGGCUCUGCUUUCCUCAUCUGCACAACAGUGCUCCUGGCCUGGCCUCCCUUCCAGGUGCAGAAUCAGGCACGUCUCGGCUCCUUUCACAGGAUGCUGCCAGCUCCAAAGAACCCCAGCCAUGAGCAGGUGUUAGACAAUGGAAGGAGGCCCAGCCGGCUCAGCCAGGAGCUCCGAACCGGUGUCGGGGGAAGCCAUCCCACCCAGCAGGAAGGGACCUCUUCUAGGAGAGACCCGGGUUGCAGACCCACACCGGCCACGGGACCUAGACAGCCUGCUCACCCUGCCAACUGUUCGUUCCUUAAAGUUGGGGACUGUUUUGUUCAUCGUGCUCUCCUCACAGUGCAUGUCUUGGUUGGGCCCCAAAGAAUCUUAAGUAAAUAAAUCAAUGAAUGGCAUGUGUCCGGACUGGCCCGAAGGACAUUCAUUCAUCCAGGAUGCAUUUCCGCAAGAAGGACCAGAAGUGUCCUCUACCCAGGAAGGGAGUGACACCUUCUCACUUCCCCUGCCCCAGACAGACUGACCGACAGAUUACCUGACCUGGGAGAUAACCUUUGAGGGCCAUCCCGGCUGGCUGGAGGGUGGGGGGCAAAGUCCCUUGAAGUUCUCGAAUGCUUUCCGUCAGGCUGUUCCGGACCCUCCUUCGACAUGAGCAACGUUAUGCGGCGUGGUUAAGUGCCAGGCUCAGUGAGGUCAGGCUGCCAGGAGGCAGAAUCUGGAUCCUUCUCUGUCACCACUUGGGCACAUUAGACCGUCACUUAUCAUCUUGAAUCUUCUGCUUCCUGGGCUGAAAAAUGGAGAUAAAGGGUAGUAUCUACCUGACAGAAAUGUUGUAAGUAGUCAAUGUGAGUAAAGCGCAUAGUGCAUGAGGCAUCUGGUCGUUUGUUUAUUCAUUCGUUGAACAAACCUGCUUAUGUGGUGAGUCUAAGGCAGGUGAACUCCAAGUGCUGGCUUCUCGGGGAGCCAAGGCAGGACGGCUGUUGAGUUCUGCACAUAUUCAAUGAGCAUUUUCUAUGUCAGGGUGACACUGGCUGUCUUCCCAUGUAUGUCAGCCUAUCGAAGCCUGUGUGAUCCUGUUCAGCCCUUGCUGAAGCUCUGUGAGGCA